rnacentral:ncRNA from 1 species
AUCUGGAGAGAGGCGCCGUGCGCGCCCACCGAAGGGGAUGCCGCGCGCAUGCGCGGUUGAAGCUCUCAGGUACCGAGACAGAU